UAAUGAGCCAAGAGCACAUCUUUUAGAGUUAAGAGCGUGGACCACUUCCACACUCGAAGUGUGAGGGGACAUACUAUGAGCUAGAGAGAGGCAAAUAAAUAGAAGUUUACAUGCCACACAGUCAUUUAGGCUUGUAACACACACAUAGAGCAGCAAACUCUCAGGCUCCUCUGCAGAAACGCUGCAGCCUGUCUGCCGGCAUGAAGCAGAAUUUCCUAAUCCCAUUAGCUGGGCCCUGGUACCUAUCGGUGUGUUAUUAACUAACCUUAAUUUAAGAAGCUGUAAAUUUUGAGAAGAUUAUACACCUAACACUCCUGAGACUGACUCGAGUGCAUUACACUGGCCUCUGACAAGAAUGUGUCCAUUCUGAGCAUUUGUAUUUGGCUCUAUUCUGAUAAAAACUCAAAAUGUAGCUCCUUAUAAAAUGAACCUGAUAAGUGAGACUCUAGAUCAGCGUGGUCCCAUAGGAAUAGAAUGCAGGUCGCCGAACUACGUGUGUAAUAUUACCUUUUCCAACGACUAUUAAACUAAAUAAAAAUAAACAGAUGAAGUCAGUUUUAAAGACAUAUUUAUCUAACCUAUGAUAUUAUCGUAUCAAUAGGUAACCAGUAUACAUUUAUUAAUGGAGUAUUUUACAUUUUUCCAUAGUGCCGUCUGGUAUUUUGCAACAAUAGCACAUCUCAGCUCAAACCAGCCCCCCCUCAAGUGCUCAGUAGCUCACGUGGCCAGUGCAGGGGUAGACGGGCCAGGUAAUGAGAAGCCUCUUAGGAAAGUCUUCCCAAGAUUCUGCUUGGCCAAGAGAAGCUCACGCGGAGGUGGAGGCCAAGGUGUGUGCGGCAGCCGUCUGGACAUCUGUGCGAUCGACGCCGACGUUGGAAGAGUCAUAGAGCGUGAAAAUGAACCCAAGGGAGAAUUGGUGAAGUCACGUUGAACGGCCAUCUCCAACUCUGACCUACUGAGGGAGCAGAUUGGAUCCAAGGAGCACCCCGGGCAACCUAGUGCAGGUACCGCCGCGACUGCUCUGGGGACGUGGAUGGGGGCCCUGUGCCCUGGGUCCUCUCCAUUGGCUGCUCCAGAUCACUACUCUCCCCAGCUUCCCGG
rnacentral:lncRNA from 1 species